UAUAUACUCCCUCCGUCUAACAAAGUAUGUCUCAAUUUUGGCCAAAUUUGAAUACAUCUAUAUACUAAUACUAAGUCAUGUCUAGAUACAUCCAAAUUUUGACAAAUUUGAGACAUCCUUUGUUGGACGGAGGGAGUAUGAU
rfam:Brachypodium distachyon strain Bd21 chromosome 2, whole genome shotgun sequence.